rnacentral:rRNA from 1 species
UGGUGUACCAGUUGUCUUGCCAAAGGCAUCGCUGGGUAGCUAUGUGUGGACGGGAUAAGUGCUGAAAGCAUCUAAGCAUGAAGCCCCCCUCAAGAUGAGAUUUCCCAUUACGCAAGUAAGUAAGAUCCCUCAAAGACGAUGAGGUAGAUAGGUUCGAGGUGGAAGUGUGGUGACACAUGGAGCUGACGAAUACUAAUCGAUCGAGGACUUAACCA